GACGAACGCUGGCGGCGUGCUUAACACAUGCAAGUCGAACGGAAAGGCCCUGCUUUUGUGGGGUGCUCGAGUGGCGAACGGGUGAGUAACACGUGAGUAACCUGCCCUUGACUUUGGGAUAACUUCAGGAAACUGGGGCUAAUACCGGAUAGGAGCUCCUGCUGCAUGGUGGGGGUUGGAAAGUUUCGGCGGUUGGGGAUGGACUCGCGGCUUAUCAGCUUGUUGGUGGGGUAGUGGCUUACCAAGGCUUUGACGGGUAGCCGGCCUGAGAGGGUGACCGGCCACAUUGGGACUGAGAUACGGCCCAGACUCCUACGGGAGGCAGCAGUGGGGAAUAUUGCACAAUGGGCGGAAGCCUGAUGCAGCAACGCCGCGUGCGGGAUGACGGCCUUCGGGUUGUAAACCGCUUUCGCCUGUGACGAAGCGUGAGUGACGGUAAUGGGUAAAGAAGCACCGGCUAGCUACGUGCCAGCAGCCGCGGUGAUACGUAGGGUGCGAGCGUUGUCCGGAUUUAUUGGGCGUAAAGGGCUCGUAGGUGGUUGAUCGCGUCGGAAGUGUAAUCUUGGGGCUUAACCCUGAGCGUGCUUUCGAUACGGGUUGACUUGAGGAAGGUAGGGGAGAAUGGAAUUCCUGGUGGAGCGGUGGAAUGCGCAGAUAUCAGGAGGAACACCAGUGGCGAAGGCGGUUCUCUGGGCCUUUCCUGACGCUGAGGAGCGAAAGCGUGGGGAGCGAACAGGCUUAGAUACCCUGGUAGUCCACGCUGUAAACGGUGGGUACUAGGUGUGGGGUCCAUUCCACGGGUUCCGUGCCGUAGCUAACGCUUUAAGUACCCCGCCUGGGGAGUACGGCCGCAAGGCUAAAACUCAAAGGAAUUGACGGGGCCCCGCACAAGCGGCGGAGCAUGCGGAUUAAUUCGAUGCAACGCGUAGAACCUUACCUGGGUUUGACAUGGAUCGGGAGUGCUCAGAGAUGGGUGUGCCUCUUUUGGGGUCGGUUCACAGGUGGUGCAUGGCUGUCGUCAGCUCGUGUCGUGAGAUGUUGGGUUAAGUCCCGCAACGAGCGCAACCCUUGUUCACUGUUGCCAGCACGUUAUGGUGGGGACUCAGUGGAGACCGCCGGGGUCAACUCGGAGGAAGGUGGGGAUGACGCCAAGUCAUCAUGCCCCUUAUGUCCAGGGCUUCACGCAUGCUACAAUGGCUGGUACAGAGAGUGGCGAGCCUGUGAGGGUGAGCGAAUCUCGGAAAGCCGGUCUCAGUUCGGAUUGGGGUCUGCAACUCGACCUCAUGAAGUCGGAGUCGCUAGUAAUCGCAGAUCAGCAACGCUGCGGUGAAUACGUUCCCGGGGCU
rnacentral:rRNA from 1 species